UUAACACCAUUUCUACCAAUUGAAAUAUAAAGUAGAGUGAUGCAUAUCACGAACCUACAAACUUUCGGGUAUGCUCGUGACGGAUUCUAAUUGCGCCGAACAAGAGACAGGAAAGUGGGAAAGUACAAGAAUUUAGCUUAAAAGGAAUGGAGCAAAUGAGGAUUUUUAUAAUGAAAUCUUAGAAAACUACAGAAACACAAUAAGUUGUAAUCUAGAAAUUACUGCUACUGGAAUUGCUGAAAAAGCGUGAGAAGAGUUGUCAAGAUCAAAAAUGAAAAUAUUUAUUGCCGUGGUAUUGAUGUCGAUGUUAUAUUCUGGAGAGGUUUCAUCGUUAGAAUGGAUGGAUGAAGAAUCUAGCUGGAGAUGGCUAGAUGAACAUUGUAAAAAACUUGGUGUGCUGGCAGUAACUGACAAUCCACAAGCUCUCUAUACUGUGAACAAAUGGAAAUGCAAAGACUUCAAACCUACGCGCAUUAGUACAGUUGAAUGCCACAGACUAUGCCCACGUACUUGGCUGGGCACCCAGAGAACAUUGGUAAUGCGGAACAAGUGCGACUACAUCGGAUUAACCCUACGAAUAACAUGUGAUUGUUUGAAUCGCGUAAAAUAAUAUGUAUCUUCUAACAUAUGUUAGAAUAGUCGAGACAAUGCACAACUGUUAAAUACUGAAAUGAUAGAAGUCGAGCUUUAUAGUAGUUUUGCAUAUGUUAUCUAUAAGUAAAUAUAAUAGAAACUGUUCACGUAUGUUUGUGUAACACAUAGCUGUAUGGAGUAGACUAUUUUAUUACUAACAUUAUUGUAUAUCUUAUUUAUUGAUAAUCACUGUCCGACUUAUGCAACUAUUUAGUUAACAGACUUUCAAAGUUAUACAUUGUUUUAUUUUAGUGAAACGUACCUAUUUUACGAUUGUAGUAAUCGGAACCUAGGCUUGAUUCAAGUAUAGUAAGAUUAACUAUUUUCAUAUGUGAUCAUUUACGUAAUCAAUGAAUUUUUAAUAAUAUACUUGAUUGUGUUAAAGCUUUUCCAGAAGUGUUGUUGGUUUGUAUUUUUUUUGCCAAUUUCAUGGGAUCUAACCAUGAAAUAACACAUCUUUACUUUGUUGGUGUUUUUAAUAUAUACUAGUUCCACUAUUUCAUUGUUAUCCUUUUUGUUCAAAGUGCUAGUUAGCUGUAGCAAAAUAGGUAAUUUCUUAAUGUAUGCUUUUUUCUUAUUAUUUUCCAGUAGUCCGGGCCUUUUUAAGUUUAGAAUGGUAUAAAGAAAAAACCACAAUAUUUACAUUAUUUCUAGUUUUGGCAUGCUACCCAUCCACCUGAGUAUUUUCAGAUUUACAUACAUGCUAUCAAACAAUCAACCCAAAUGUAGGUUUGUUUUUUUACUAAUCGAAAUGUUUUAUUCAAUCUAAUUCCUUGUCUGACUUAUUUACGUUUGUAUAUUUAUUUUUAUAUUAAUUCCAUUACAUUUGAUAUGUGAUAACCUAUUGGAUUAAGAAUUUGUCAGUAAUGAAUAUACAUAUACCACAUAUAAACUGCUUUAUCAUCGAGAAUUCAUUUUAUUGCUAACCAGGAAGAGUGUCCAAAAAUGUGAUGU